rnacentral:lncRNA from 1 species
AAUAUCCCUAUAGAAAUUGUCAAUAGAUUUAUUUAGUAAGUAUAGAAAUUAAAUUAUUUAGGGUUAGAAUAAGUGGAUUCGCACCCGAAAAAAAAAAUAGUUAAAUCAUGCAUUAUUAUUACUUAUAAUUUAUGCAAAUAUGUAUCUUAUAAUAUUAAAUUCUCUACUCUAUUAUUAUAUAUGCAUGUGUGUGCGCGUGUGCAUGUAAUGUGUGUGUGGUGUGUGAUUGUGUAGUGUGCGUGUGUUAUACUAUAUAUAUGUAACUAAAUAUAAGCCAAAAAAAAAAAAAACAUUUAAAUGGAUUUAUAUGCUUAACUAAUAAAAGUUUCUAGAAAAUAUUGUGUUGGCAAGUUAAUAUGAAAUUUUCACAUGAGAACUACAAGUGUCCUUUCUAUUAUAUUAUCACUUAAUUUUCAAUUCCUAGAAACCCUUUUCAUUCAUUUAGUUUUCCCUCAUCCCUUCGAAACAACCAAGUUUGGAGAAAAAUACAUCUUAGAGUUUUACAAAUUAAGGUGUUCAUGCUUCUUAUGGUUUCUUGUUAAUUCUUGAAGUUAUGUGUGUAUGUAGAGUUUUAAUUUUAUGAAAGAUUUAUGUUAAAAUCAUGAUAAUUGUGUUUUGGUAUAAAGAGAUUACAUAUAGAAAUAAGGGUUGAAUAAUUUUUGUUCAAAUUGUUGAGAGCGUCUCCUAUAGUUGACAUGAAGGAAUAUCGAUUUUAAAAUUUUCUGUGCGUAAUAUAG